GUUGCAAAUGGCUCGUCGAACUUGUAGUUGAUCGUUGUUGUAGUUGUCUCAUUUCUUAAUUCGCCAUCAGAGGACAGAGAUUUCUUGAGCUUUUCCUGUAUUGAUCACUUCAAAAUCGCCUAUCAAAAUGAAGCGUCUUCUGGUUCUAUAUCUGGUUGCAAUUAUUCUAAUGGCUGAAUGUAUGGAUAACUAUGGAGUAGUUGCUCAGGUUUGUAGUCGCCGCCGUUCCGCUCGGCUAUCAACUUCUCAUGAAGACUGUGAUCAUGAUGAGAAAAAUGAGAUCGGAGUUAAAGACGAAGUUUACGACGUGGACAAGACCUUGACUCAUCACAAAAAUCGAGAAGAUAGAAACCUGCUUUUUGAACCUGAAAAUGAUUGAACGCAAGAUAGAGUUGUAAUAAUAUCCCAAGACACUCCCGAAAUGUCUCUCUGAUACACAGCUGAAUUCAUUCUAACAUCAAAAACCUUUUUUGGAAGCCAUUUUAUCAGGGGCCCCUUUUUCACAGAAAAUUUCGAUAGACACCCGGCAAGAUUGUAAUACAAGCACUAGGAGAAGCUCUGUUAAAACAAAAUGAGCAUCAUGUUGAUCAAUUGAAAGUUUUGUUGUCGCACUUAUUUGACUGUUUUUUGUCUUUUUAUAUAUUAAGUCUUACAAUUCAUCUCGUUAAGUGAGUGGUCUAGACUUAAUUGAUGUAGUUUGUAGAUUUUUAUGAGUGUUUUUCAUAAAUGUUCUUUGUCAUCAAUUACUUAUGUUAGGACACCAUUGGAAAUAAGCCAUCUCGGUAUUUGUUUAUACUUCAUUUAUUUUAUUCAUGUACUUGUUAUAUUUUACCUGACAAAUAAAACCAAUCAAUCAAUC